CGGUGGUGAAGCGCUUGGAGCAGCCGGGCGCGGCGCAGGCGAAGGGCCGCAGUUUGUCGUGCGAGUGCAGCUCUGUUCCGGCUCUCCAGUCUUGAGCAGAAGGAAGAAUCAAGCCAUCCUUGUGGUGGGAAUCAGGCUCCGGCGGCUGUGAGCCCUUCGAGCAGUCCCAGCAGAUGGCGCUGUGAUGCUUCCAGAGGGCAAAUUAUUCCCCCAGAGCUAUUCUGCAUCGAAUUUCGGACCGCAAGCAAGGCGAGCUGCUGUCCAGCCGCAGGUGGCUGCGGGGUACUGAUGCUCCCUGCAGUACAACUGUGUGCACGCAGCUCCCCCCUGCAGCUGCAGAGCUGUCUGUGCAGCCUCAGCCUGGGUGCUUGAGCUCAGCCUCCCCUGAAAUCCCCCUGAGCUGUCACAGGGCCUGGGUCAGCCCUGCUUGUGGCUGCUGCCGGUGCUCCUGGUCUCACUGCAGAGGUGCAUGCACUGCACUCUUCCUUCACUUCCUUCCUUUUUGUAGAAGAAAAAUGGCCUUAAGUUGUGCCAGGGGAGGUUCAGGUUGGACGUUAGGGAAACUUUCUCAGAAUGAGUGGUGAGGCACUGGCACAGGCUGCACAGGGAGUGGGGAGUCACCAUCCCUGGAGGCAGUUCACGAGCUGUGGAGACGUGGCACCGAGGAAUGUGGUUAUGGGCACGGUGGAAGUGGGUUAGGAUUGGACUUGGGAAUCAUAAUUGUCUUUCCAACCUUAAUGAAUCUAUGAAAAUAAAGGCCAGCCUAGGCCUUUAGUGCUCAACGCAGAGGUGCAUCCCUGAUGGAAGGAUAUCAAAUCAACCUGCGUCAAGCUUCAAACCUCACUACAGAAAUUAAUCUCCUCUGUUAUCUACUAUCUGGUCUGAUACUGUGACUGCAGAUGUGUGUUUUGAAGGAGACUGCUGUGCCUGUAAUGAGGUUUUCCAGCACUGAGGUCAUCUGCCUAGAAAUGACAUCAGCGUCCCCACAGAGUUAGGCAGAACAAUUGUCCAUUCAUAGACCCAGUUUCUCUGCAAACUGCAGAAAAACAAGGACACUCAGAAGAGUUCAAGGAGUUUUUGCCCUGGCCAGGCCUAUGGCUUCUGCCUGUUGGAAAUCACAAGCUGCUUCAUCCCAGCAGGGAGUGACAGAUUACUGUUAGCAAAGUGCUAAAUAACACAAAGGUGAAGAAUCCAUAAUAGUAUUUCUUCAACAUUUUCUGUGGUAGAUUUUUCAACUCACAAUUAAGAUGACUAUAGAGCAGCUCCAUAGUACGUUCCUGUACUUCCAUAGUACACAAAGACAUUGUAUUUUCUGGAUGUUCCCUAUGACAAACAGUGCCCCAGUUCUUUUGGGCUACAACUAGAGCGGUUGUAUGAGGUAGAGCUACCAAGACACCACCCCAGUGUGAUUAUUAAUAGGUAAUGCCUAACAUAUGUUAAAGAAAGGCUGUCAAAUCUGGCUGGCAACUGCUCACGUCUCGGUGCUGUAACUUGUCAAUGCGUGCUUUUUUCCACAGUGUAAAGCAAUUCUGGUGAACUGCAAAAUGCACUUCACAGAAGGUUUGGUUGCAAGCAGAUGCCAGCCUCUCACUGCUCAUCUGGAGAUGUACACUUUAUGUGAACAGAGUAAAUGACUGACUACUGAAAUUUAGAAGAAAAAAAACAACACACAGCACACCAGGUGUACUGUUUAACUGGCACCAGAAGCAAUGCGUGGGUGCAGCAAGCACACACUUGUUAAGUACCAAAAUGCCACAGGGUUUUAAAGUUAUUUGGUUUCUUGAGGCCCCACAGUUCAAAUAGUGCAGCUCCUCACUCCCCACCUGCAGCAGCCAGCACAGGUCACCAUGAGUAAGCUCCCUGCCUAUCGCAGAAUGCAUCAGUGAGGUACUGUUAACACCAUACUAUGGGAAGUUGAAGUGCAAAAUAAGACAUUUCUCUAGGUUGCAUCUGGACAGCUAGAUUAUUAUUCUUUAGUUUUAUUUCAAGGAAAGGAACUGAAAUUUUGUCCCUUACAAGGAGAAAUUCCCUAUUGCAAAUACUCCCCCAAACGUGCUCUUUUAAUGGGUUAAAAGGAAAAAAAUCUCAUGCGGCAGAGACAAUUGCAAGGCUUUUAUCAUUUGCACAUUUUAUCAUACGUUUCUACCAGGAUAACAUUGCAGUUGGAAUACCACUAACAUUUGAGGGCUUGUUCUAAGAUGUUCUCAUCCACCACUUUUUGAGGAAGAGUCACCUUCAGUGCAGCACUGUCUUUCAUUGCUUGGCAGAUGGUUUCAUACGCGUAGCCAUUACCUGACCAGCAGCGCCUUGCAACCUGUCAGACCAGAAAAUCAGUGUGUAAAAAUUGCCCAUUUUCCAUACCAAGUCCCAUUUUGUGCAAAUAUUGCAAAUUGUGCAAUUUUGUGCAAAUUUUGUGAUAUUUGUGCAAACACUGGCAUCCCAUUUCAUCACAAUAAAUCUUUCAACUCUC